rnacentral:rRNA from 1 species
UACAGAGACUGCAAGCGUUAUUCGGAUUCACUGGGCGUAAAGGGUGCGCAGGCGGCCGAGUGUGUUAGAUGUGAAAUCCCGGGGCUCAACCCCGGAACUGCGUCUAAAACUACUUGGCUAGAGUAUUGGAGAGGGUAGCGGAAUUCACGGUGUAGCAGUGAAAUGCGUAGAUAUCGUGAGGAACACCAGAGGCGAAGGCGGCUACCUGGACAAUUACUGACGCUCAGGCACGAAAGCGUGGGGAGCAAAAGGGAUUAGAAACCCUAGUAGU